rnacentral:rRNA from 1 species
UACGUAGGGGGCAAGCGUUGUCCGGAAUCAUUGGGCGUAAAGGGCGCGUAGGCGGGAUGGCAAGUCGGUCGUGAAAUCCCUCGGCUCAACUGAGGAUCGUCGAUCGAUACUGCCGUUCUUGAGGAUUGCAGAGGAGACUGGAAUUCCCGGUGUAGCGGUGAAAUGUGUAGAGAUCGGGAGGAACACCGGUGGCGAAGGCGGGUCUCUGGGCAAUUCCUGACGCUGAGGCGCGAAAGCGUGGGGAGCAAACGGG